rnacentral:rRNA from 1 species
GUACACAAAAAUGCACAUACUGUGAGCUCGAUGAGUAGGGCGGGACACGUGGUAUCCUGUCUGAAUAUGGGGGGACCAUCCUCCAAGGCUAAAUACUCCUGACUGACCGAUAGUGAACCAGUACCGUGAGGGAAAGGCGAAAAGAACCCCGGCGAGGGGAGUGAAAAAGAACCUGAAACCGUGUACGUACAAGCAGUGGGAGCCUCUUAAUGGGGUGACUGCGUACCUUUUGUAUAAUGGGUCAGCGACUUAUAUUCUGUAGCAAGGUUAACCGAAUAGGGGAGCCGAAGGGAAACCGAGUCUUAACUGGGCGUUAAGUUGCAGGGUAUAGACCCGAAACCCGGUGAUCUAGCCAUGGGCAGGUUGAAGGUUGGGUAACACUAACUGGAGGACCGAACCGACUAAUGUUGAAAAAUUAGCGGAUGACUUGUGGCUGGGGGUGAAAGGCCAAUCAAACCGGGAGAUAGCUGGUUCUCCCCGAAAGCUAUUUAGGUAGCGCCUCGUGAAUUCAUCUCCGGGGGUAGAGCACUGUUUCGGCAAGGGGGUCAUCCCGACUUACCAACCCGAUGCAAACUGCGAAUACCGGAGAAUGUUAUCACGGGAGACACACGGCGGGUGCUAACGUCCGUCGUGAAGAGGGAAACAACCCAGACCGCCAGCUAAGGUCCCAAAGUCAUGGUUAAGUGGGAAACGAUGUGGGAAGGCCCAGACAGCCAGGAUGUUGGCUUAGAAGCAGCCAUCAUUUAAAGAAAGCGUAAUAGCUCACUGGUCGAGUCGGCCUGCGCGGAAGAUGUAACGGGGCUAAACCAUGCACCGAAGCUGCGGCAGCGACACUAUGUGUUGUUGGGUAGGGGAGCGUUCUGUAAGCCUGUGAAGGUGUACUGUGAGGUAUGCUGGAGGUAUCAGAAGUGCGAAUGCUGACAUAAGUAACGAUAAAGCGGGUGAAAAGCCCGCUCGCCGGAAGACCAAGGGUUCCUGUCCAACGUUAAUCGGGGCAGGGUGAGUCGACCCCUAAGGCGAGGCCGAAAGGCGUAGUCGAUGGGAAACAGGUUAAUAUUCCUGUACUUGG